CCCUUCCCCAAAUUUUUCUGUGUCUCUUUCUACCCUUCUCGCUACAGUUCAGCCGCUCCUUCACUCAAGUCUCUCUCUCUCAAUAAGCUCAAAACACUAAAAAAAAGUCAGAAAAUUUUAAAGUAAUCAGAUAUUUCAGUGCUUUUUGUGGCGUUUACGUCAAGCUGUGAAAAUCUUACACAUUUGUACAUUACAGAACGCCAAACCAACGAACAUUGGUCGGUCUUUCGUUCCAUUCCUCACAUCCCAUUUUCCCACAAACUUUCUCUGCAGUUUCUUGCCUCUGAGUUUUUUUUUUUUUUCCCGGAAAGUUUCAAGCUUCAGAAGAAUUUUCAUUUUCCCAGAUAAGUUUCCUCUCCAUAUUCUCUGAUUCUUUCUGAACAGACUCAUAAGAACAUCAAGAAUUUCUGUUUUGGAAAAAAAGGGUAUCUGUUAGCUGUGUUGAAGUGGUGCUUUUUUUAAAUCUUUAUUUGAAUUGGGGUUUGUUAAUUCUUGGAUAAGUAGUAGCAAAUCCUGAUUUGGAGUGGAAUGCUGGUUUUGUUUGUGUUUUGAGAUUAUGGUGUGGUUUCGGUCGGUUUUGUUUGUGUUUUGAGCUUUUGGUGUGGUUUUGUUUGUGUUUUUCUUUUCCUUACCUUUUCGUUUCUCUUCUCUUUCCUUCCCCUUCCACUGAACCAAACAUAGUCUAAGGUAACCGUUUCUAUAUAUUAAAGCCUUACAUUAUUAUUGAGAGCUUCAGUAAGGGUUAGAGAGAGUCCGAACAGGAGAGAAAAAUCUGAGGACCUGCACCAACCAGUUUUUCUCCGAAAACUUUACCGAAUUUCAGUUUCAGGGUCAUCAAAGCUGUUGGCUAAUAUUCUGUACUCAUGGGUCUAUCUGUUGGGAACUUAAUUGCUAGAUGGGAUGGGAUGAAAUUUGAGAAGUGCCAUUGAUCUGUAGAGGCACUACAAGAAGGGUGAUUCAAAAUCCAGAACUUUGCCCAUGUAUUUCCGGAUCGGGACGGUGAUAGAGUCAGCAUCAAACUUUUUCACAGGUAGACUAACAAAGGAGAGAAAGGGAACAAUUGCAUCUGAGGUUAUCUGAUCUCUCCCUUGCUGGCUACAGGUGAGAUAUGCAACUCUAUCGAAAACCAUAUGACCAUAUCAUGACAUGAUGUGUUGAGUUCAAAGGGUAAAAGGAAUGUGGUGUUGCCAUUCAUAAAAAUAUAUUAUUUUGCCUAUAUAUAAUGGUUGAUUAAGAUGAAUUCAGCAAAGGGAGAUCUAAAUUCUAUAUGAGCUUGCUUAUCUUAGUUGUAAUCUUCAAAUG